UCUUCAUUGACCAACGUUAGUCCACAAGAAAACUCCUAUAGAAGAUUGGCGUGAAGAAGGCUAUUGGUUGGGCAUAUGCUAGAGGGGAUCAUGUAACAUUGGAGCAUUUGUUUGUAUACUGGCUUGCACCCAUUCAGGCUACGUUGCUGGGAGUCUGGGCAUUCAGGUUGUUUGCUGAACCAAAGAAGAGCAAAGUACAACAAGGUGAAGAACACAAGGUCAAAUCUGAAUGACGGGUUCUGUCGCUGGAACUUUGCAACUUCUGUCCCUUCUUGUAUUUAAUCUUUCUCUACUCUUCCAUUCUGUGUAAUGUGGCUGUAUCUGAUAGAAAAUCCUUGUUUAUUUACCAAAUCCUAUUUCCAUUUAAGCAAACUCUGAUCUGACUUCCUCUUGAAUAAUAAUUUGUAUCUUUUGUGCAUGUUUUUGCUCAUCAAAAUGCAAGUGCCUGAUUUUAUUCACAAUCA